CUGUAGGAACACUCAGCGCUGAGUAAUUGGAUUGCAAGUGAAGCUAUCAGUAAAUAUUUAGUGUACCAAGAACCCCAUACACUAUACAAUCCACAAUCUAUAUGACAACCUGUGCCCCUCCAUUUCUGUUGACAUUCGAUGGAAAGUGUAAGGGGAGACGGCUGCAAGCCGAGCUGAAAGCGAUUCGAAUUAAUCGCAGAACAAGUGCAUUGGUGCUGUUCGAUCCGCCGAAGCAAAUAUAUAUACACCCAUCGCUAUAAUUGUGUGUGUUUCCUUGGCUAUUCAUAUUUAUACGAUUAUUGGUGGCGGCGCCGUCGAGUCAACCGCAUUUCAAAUUGAAUACUAUCCAGACAUUGGCGUGAAUCAGAAGCAGACUACGUGAUCCGAUCGAUGCAAAUGCAAAUGCAAUUGCAAAUGCAUCGCCAGCUGAAAAUAUUUCGCUGUAAUAAUAGUCACAGUACGAGAAUCUGGAACGGAACCGAUUAGACGUCUCGAUUUUGGCCUGUGGCGAGCGAUGAGUGUGGGCAAAAGUUAGUGCACAGAGGAAAAAUGUCAUAAAAGACUUUAUCACUUGGGUUUUUUUGUUGUUGUCAUAAGCGAAUGGAUUGUUUUCGGGGCUAUGCCAAAAUGAUAUUGUCAAAACACUUCUAGAGAAGCGGAACAUGAAUAACUGAGUGAUUCAUGGAGAAAGAUUAGCUCACAGUU